rnacentral:rRNA from 1 species
GACGUAGGAUGCAAGCGUUGUCCGGAUUUAUUGGGCGUAAAGAGUUCGUAGGCUGUUUGUUAAGUCUGGUGUUAAAGACUGGGGCCCAACCCCGGAAAUGCAUCGGAUACUGGCAGACUUGAGUACGGUAGAGGCGAGUGGAAUUCCCAGUGUAGCGGUGAAAUGCGUAGAUAUUGGGAAGAACACCGGUGGCGUAGGCGACUCGCUGGGCCGCAACUGACGCUGAGGAACGAAAGCCAGGGGAGCGAAUGGG